rnacentral:lncRNA from 1 species
AAAACACUCCUGAUAUGGCAAGAGCCCAGAUGGUAGGGAAGAAAGGGUAUGUUUUUGGCUAAUUCACACACACAAAAAGAUCAAAUUGUGUUGAUGGUCCUGGUUGGAGAAACAAAUUUUCCUAACUAAUUACAAAACCCACUUUAGUCAUCACACACUAAUUUUAGGGAGUCUAACACUGUGGGUGAGUAAAAGGAUACUUGUCAGUACACAAAGAAAUUUCAACACAACUUAGUGUAGAGCAUAGCUAAAACUUUCUGAAGUAUGAGCAGUUAAACUGUCUCAUAUCUCAGUUAUUUUUUAAACAUAUAAACCUUUGACCAAAAUCUCUAUUACUAUGCAAUUAAACAUGAAAGAGGAAUUAAAUAAAAUGUUAGUUACUUCUGACCUAGUUCAGCAGAAAAUAAUCUUGUUUUCUUCACAAUGCACAUUAGCACUUAAGCCACGAGAGACAGGAAUCUAAAAAGUAAAGCGAUACUAAAAAUAACCUUAUUGAAUACGUGGGGAAGAUUUGAUAAAAGUACUAAUUUGGUUCUUAAAGAUAAUGGGGUUGUUAUUGAGAUUCAUUGAUUAAAAGGAACAAAUUUAAGCAAUUAUAAAACUGUAAAUUUGGAGAAUUUCCAUUAUAUUUUGCUAGUAAAAUUAACCUAAUCUAGAUAGAUUAAGAGAGAAAUUCCUUGAAAUACUUGAAGAGAGUCAUAGGUUAGGUUAGAUUAACCUAAUUUUACCCAAGUGACAGAUCUUUUGCCAUAUUUGCCUGUGGCCAAAGAAGACUUGGUUUACUUAGUCUGUUUUGUGAUCUUUGAAACUUUAAUGUAACUUCUGAACCAGCUUUUGCUAUUUAGGGGAGGUCAGAUGGGACACUCUUGUGUAGGCAUCCCCACAUCAUCUUUAUAUAGGCUUUCACUAGAUUUUACAGUUGGAGUCUUGACUCCUUGCUAGGAACAUCACAGAAGGUUCCAACAAAGAGAGCAUUCCUCCUUACCUAACAUCUC